rnacentral:piRNA from 1 species
UGCUUUUGAAUUUUAUUGAGGAUAGUCUA